CGCCUCUUGACCCCCAUAAGAGGUCCAGCCUGCCCAGUGACUUCUGUUCAACGGCCGGGGUAUCCUAACCGUGCGAAGGUAGCGCAAUCACUUGUUUCUUAAAUAGGGACUAGUAUGAAAGGCAUCACGAGGGCCUAACUGUCUCCUUUUUCCAAUCAGUGAAACUAAUCUCCCCGUGAAGAAGCGGGGAUAUUCUUAUAAGACGAGAAGACCCUAUGGAGCUUUAAACUCUACGACACCUGCCUUCUACUACUUUCUUUUUCAGAAAGCUCCCCCCCCCUUUGGCACCCUGUCUACGAGCUUUCGGUUGGGGCGACCCCGGAGAAUAACUUAUCCUCCGUAAUGAACAGAUUUAUCUUUAGCAAAAAUCUACAACUUUAAGCAUCAGUAAAACUGACAUACAUUGACCCAAAAUUUGAGCAACGAACCAAGUUACCCUAGGGAUAACAGCGCUAUCCACUUUGAAAGUUCCUAUCGACAAGUGGGCUUACGACCUCGAUGUUGGAUCAGGGUAUCCUAGUGGUGCAACCGCUACUAAAGGUUUGUUUGUUCAACAAUUAAAACCC
rnacentral:rRNA from 1 species